GCGGGAAUAGCUCAGUUGGUAGAGCACGACCUUGCCAAGGUCGGGGUCGCGAGUUCGAGUCUCGUUUCCCNCA
rnacentral:tRNA from 1 species